GGCUUGUGGCUCAGUGGUAGAGCGCUCUCCUAGCAUCUGUGAGGCACUGGGUUCGAGCCUCGGCACCA
rnacentral:tRNA from 1 species